AUACGGUAUGGAAAAUACUUCUCUCACCUUCAAUCUUCAUAAACUGCUGAACAGUCUGUCGUAAUGGAUCAUUAUGUAUGUUACCCGAUUCCUCACCGUUCAACUGGCUCUGGGGGAAAAAGAGAAGAUUGUCUAUGUCGUUCUGUAACUGCUUGUCCAAGUUCUUCUUUAGCUCUUCUCCCAGAGUCUGCAUAUUGAAGAAGAUUUAAGAUUAGUCGGUGAACUUUCAAUACUUUGGUUGCUUACGAAGAGAGAAGCUCUCAUACAUAAAAGAUGAACUCUGCAGAAACAUUGUGCUCUAUCAGAUUCUGAAGUUUCCUGCGGAUUUCAUAAAGCCUGUUGCUUCGAAUGAUCGUAUGGCCUGUCUUAAAUUUCUUUUUGCACUGUUGGCAAAUUUUUCUGCGAGUGGGUGUGGGAGCUCGACUCCUUCCUGUUCAGCUAUGAAUUCCAAAAC